AAAAAAAGUAGCUAAUUUGACCAUCGAUUGAAGAUUAACGCUUAGAAUUUUGUACAGGCGUUAACGAGGCAACUAUGUUGGGUCCUCACAACGUCAACGUUUACGUGAGUAAAGCACAGCAAGGAAGUAAAAGUGUGAAGAUGGGCCGCUCCUCCAAAGACAAACGGGAUAUCUACUACCGUCUUGCCAAGGAGGAGGGCUGGAGGGCCAGGAGCGCCUUCAAACUACUGCAACUGGAUGAGGAGUUUGGCCUGUUCAAAGGUGUAAAAAGGGCAGUCGACCUCUGUGCUGCCCCUGGCAGCUGGAGCCAGGUCCUGAGCCGUAAACUCAGAGGAAAGGAGGAGAAGAGUGAGGAGGUAAAGAUAGUGGCGGUGGACCUACAGGCCAUGGCUCCUCUCCCUGGGGUGACACAGAUCCAGGGGGACAUCACCAAGAUCUCCACUGCCCUGGAGAUAAUCAGGCAUUUUGAAGGACAGCCUGCAGACCUGGUAGUGUGUGAUGGAGCUCCAGACGUGACAGGACUCCAUGAUGUGGAUGAGUACAUCCAAGCUCAGCUCCUAUUGGCUGCCCUAAACAUUACAACACACGUCCUGAAACCUGGAGGAACGUUUGUUGCAAAGAUAUUCCGGGGGAAGGACGUGACCCUCCUGUACUCCCAGCUUAAGAUAUUCUUCAGUAGUGUGACCUGUGCUAAGCCCCGGAGCAGCAGGAACUCCAGCAUAGAGGCAUUUGUGAUGUGUCAGAAUUACUCUCCUCCAGUAGGAUAUGUGCCCAACAUGUCCAAUCCUCUACUGGAUCACUCAUAUGAUGUAGAUUUUAACCAGCUGGAAGGACCAAACAGAAUCAUAGUUCCUUUCUUGGCCUGUGGAGACCUGAGUGCCUUUGACUCGGACCGGACCUACCCUCUCCAGGACUGCCUCGAAGAAAGAAUGCCAUGCAGCGCAGAGACGCAAGAGAUUGAACUUCACUGAGUUCGCCGCAUUAGUUUGCAAUGUAGGCCUGCAUUGAACACCACAUAUAUGCUACUGUAGUCUAUAUCAUAGAAAUCACAAGCUAUUUCCAUGUGAAAAUGUUAUGGGAUUUGCUCCAUUGGUUUUGUUGGUAGGCCUACAUUAUGCUCAAAUAGCCACAAUAGCCUAUUGGCUCCUGUCUAAAACUGUAAGGGUACAGCCUCAGUGUUCAAUGUAAAUGUGCUGGAAGUUGCACAAAAUUCUCACUAUGUUCAAGUUUCUGCUCACAAAACAAACAUUUGCUCAGUGCCUGAAAAAAUUGGGGUAAAACACAUGGUUUGGAGAGACAAACAAGUAAGAGGAUGGUAAAAUCAGAUAUUCUGUAACCAUUUAGUUGGCAAUUACUUUUCUUUCUGCGUUUGCAAUACAUUAACAUUAUUUAGCAGACACUUAUCCAGAGUGGCAUAGAGUAGUGAGUGCAUACGUUAUCAUAUUUUCUUUGUCCAUACUGGUCCCCGUGGGAAUUCAAAUCUUCACCCCUGGUGUUGCAAGCGCCAUGCUUUACCAACUGAGCCACACAGGAAACUUGUAGCUGAGCAUCAACAGGGUAGCCUAGUGGUUAGAGCGUUGGACUAGUAACCGGAAGGUUGCAAGUUCAAACCCCCGAGCUGACAAGGUACAAAUCUGUCGUUCUGCCCCUGAACAGGCAGUUAACCCACUGUUCCCUAGGCCGUCAUUGUAAAUAAGAAUUUGUUCUUAACUGACUUGCCUAGUUAAAUAAAGGUAAAAAAAAAAAAGUCAGCACAUAAGGGACCACACUAGGGUUACUGAUCAUUCACACAGCAGAUGUCUAAUUCCAGAGACGAGAACACAAGUCAAGACCAACUACAACCGAAGGGCUUUGAAUAUAUACACUGCUCAAAAAAAUAAAGGGAACACAACACAAUGUAACUCCAAGUCAAUCACACUUCUGUGAAAUCAAACUGUCCACAACACUGCUUGACAAUACAUUUCACAUGCUGUUGUGCAAAUGGAAUAGACAACAGGUGGAAAUUAUAGGCAUUUAGCAAGACACCCCCAAUAAAGGAGUGGUUCUGCAGGUGGCGACCACAGACCACUUCUCAAUUCCUAUGUUUCCUGGCUGAUGUUUUGGUCACUUUUGAAUGCUGGCGGUGCUUUCACUCUAGUGGUAGCAUGAGACGGAGUCUACAACCCCUCAAGCUUAUAGAGACAUAUCCCAAGAGACUUGUAGGUGUAGUUGCUGCAAAAGGUACAAAUACAAAGUAUUGACUUUGGGGGGGUGAAUAGUUAUGCAAGAUCAAGUUUUCUAUUUUCUUUCUUAUUUCUUGUUUGUUUCACAAUAAAACAUAUUUUGCAUCAUCGAAGUUGUAGACAUGUUGUGCAAAUCAAAUGAUAUAAACCCCCCAAAAAGCUAUUUUAAUUCCAGGUUGUAAGGCAACAAAAUAGGAAAAAUGCCAAGGGGGGUGAAUACUUUCGCAAGGCACUGUACAUGUGAAUUCUUUGGUCAUGGAAGUGUGCUACUACCUUUGUUCAAGAAAGUAAGACUGAAAGCAGACCGGUUACCUGAACAGUAGAUUUUCAUGUAGUUUAAGAUGUUUGCCAAACAUGCCAAACAAUGUAUACCUUAAAGACCUACCCGAGUCUCAUUUUCACCUCAUUUACUUGUGAUACAGCCUGGAUUUGAACCAGGGACUGUAAUGAUGCCUCUUGCACUGACAUGCAGUGGCUUAGACUUAGACCUUAGGCUGCGUCACUCAGGAGCCCUGUUUGUAAAUGAUCAGCGCCUCUAGAUUGUUCUGCCUCCUAAACAUAGGCUGUCAGUUUUUUUCACUUUAUCUAAGUGUGUUCACUCCUUCAUGAACAAGUUGAAAAGAUGUCUCCAUCUUAUUUAAUCUUCAUUUGUAUGGCUGCUGUUGCAGUUAAAGAAAGUUGUGCAGAUUCUGUCCCUACUCCCACCAUUGUGUUAGACCCUGGGUACAUCAAUGUAGCUAUGCCUGUCGUAGUACGCUGCGAGUCAACAAGAGGCACAAAGUGCCACUUCUACAAAGACCACGACACCAACCCAGUAAGAGAAGUGAAUUCCGGUGUUUGCCAAUUCAUAUUGUUCUGGAAUGAGUUCAAAAAGUGGAACAAGACUGAAGUAGAUCUCAGCUGUGCUAUUCUACAGAAGAGAGAAGGGAAAACGAUGUCUUCAGAACGAAGUGACACUCGAAGACUUCAUGUAAGUGAUUCCAUUGGAAUACCCAGGAUUUUUGUGGAAAAUACAGGAACUUACUUAAGUCUUCAGUGUGAGGCCAAGCAUGCUGGUACCUCAUGCUACUAUUACUUGAACAACAAUGAGUCCCCCUUUAAAAGUCAGCCCUACAAAGACAAUGUCUGUGUUGGGAAAGUAUCGGAAAAGGAUCUGCUGAGGAAGAGGAGCAGUGCUGGAGAGAUCUUCAUCACCUGUGCUGUGGAGCUGGUGGUAGAGGGUGGAGAUACUGUGACAUCACAGCAUAGUGAACCGUUCAAGAUUGCCAUAGAUGACUCUCCUGGGCCCACCACUUCCUUGUCAACAUUCAGUACCAACAAAACCAGUGUAACUAAUGGAAAAGAGUCCUCCUCGGAGUUCCCCCUCUACAUCAGUCUGAGUGUUGGGGCCUUUAGCCUUAUUCUGCUGGUUGUAUCUGUCCUGUGUUUUCUCCGGUACAAGCGAGGUGAUCAACAAGACUGGUCUGCCAAUAGAUCCCAAUGGAACCAGAACAAAGAAGUUAUCUAUGCAAAUGCUUAAUUAUUUCAACAAGGCGGUCUGAAUGUGGGGGAUGUGACCAUGCUGCGUUGUACUAGUUCAAGUGUAAGUGUAAGUGGUAACAGUUCACCUGUUGAUGAACUUCCUCCACAUCCUUUCUCUGCUUCCUGAUUUACAUAUCUGCCACUCUCUGCUCUUCAAGUAGUCUGACACCUUCUGUUCCUCUCAGAUGAAUGGUGUAAUAUCUUACUGGGCAAGAAAUAGAUGUGCAUAGGUUUUAAGACAUGAUCUAUUUGAAGUUUCACAUUGUUUGUAUAUAAGGGUAAAUACCCGUGUUCUUUUAUUGCCUUGUCUUUUUUUAAACGCUUUUGUUAUUUUAUUACUCUUUUUUAUCAACUUUGUAUAUUGAUAGUUUUGCUACUCUACAUUUAUUCUGCACUUUUGAGGAAGAGCUGAAAGUAAGCAUUUCACUGUGCCAUUCCAACUUCUGUACUCUGUGCAUGUGACAAAUAAACAUUGAUUUAAUGUGUAGAUUGUGUAGAUUAGUUUUAACAUACUGGCAUACAAUUUUCCUAUUCUGUACAGCUUUUAAUAUGUAACUCUGUUUUGAAUAAAUUAAAUACAUGUAUUGUAUUACAGCAUU